UGGGCAGUAUCCGCUGGAACUGCACCUGAAAACGAUGUUUUGUAAAUAAACAGUCUGCCUUGAUCCAAAAAGGACUGGGACAGAGGG
rfam:Bacillus glycinifermentans strain GO-13 contig_12, whole genome shotgun sequence.